rnacentral:rRNA from 1 species
UACGUAGGUGGCAAGCGUUGUCCGGAUUUACUGGGCGUAAAGAGCGCGCAGGCGGUCGUUCAAGUCGCGUGUGAAAGCCCCCGGCUCAACUGGGGAGGGUCACGCGAUACUGAUCGACUCGAAGGCAGGAGAGGGUAGUGGAAUUCCUGGUGUAGCGGUGAAAUGCGCAGAUAUCAGGAGGAACACCGGUGGCGAAGGCGGAUCUCUGGGCCAUUACUGACGCUGAGGAGCGAAAGCGUGGGGAGCGAACAGG